rnacentral:rRNA from 1 species
GAUGAGUAUGCGUCCCAUUAGCUAGUUGGUAAGGUAACGGCUUACCAAGGCUACGAUGGGUAGGGGUCCUGAGAGGGAGAUCCCCCACACUGGUACUGAGACACGGACCAGACUCCUACGGGAGGCAGCAGUGAGGAAUAUUGGUCAAUGGGCGCAAGCCUGAACCAGCCAUGCCGCGUGCAGGAUGACGGUCCUAUGGAUUGUAAACUGCUUUUGCACAGGAAGAAACAACGCUACGUGUAGCGUCUUGACGGUACUGUGAGAAUAAGGAUCGGCUAACUCCGUGCCAGCAGCCGCGGUAAUACGGAGGAUCCAAGCGUUAUCCGGAAUCAUUGGGUUUAAAGGGUCCGUAGGCGGUUUAGUAAGUCAGUGGUGAAAGCCCAUCGCUCAACGGUGGAACGGCCAUUGAUACUGCUAGACUUGAAUUAUUAGGAAGUAACUAGAAUAUGUAGUGUAGCGGUGAAAUGCUUAGAGAUUACAUGGAAUACCAAUUGCGAAGGCAGGUUACUGCUAAUGGAUUGACGCUGAUGGACGAAAGCGUGGGUAGCGAACAGGAUUAGAUACCCUGGUAGUCCACGCCGUAAACGAUGGAUACUAGCUGUUGG